rnacentral:rRNA from 1 species
CUUGGUCAUUUAGAGGAGUAAAAGUCGUAACAAGGUUUCCGUAGGUGAACCUGCGGAAGGAUCAUUACUGAAUUGUCAAACGGGUUGUUGCUGGCCCUCAUAGGGGGCAUGUGCACGCUCUGUUUACACAUCCACUCACACCUGUGCACCCUCUGUAGUUCUAUGGUCUGGGGGACCCUGUCUUCCUUCUGUGGUUCUACUUCUUUACACACACACUGUAAUAAAGUUUUAUGGAAUGUACAUCGCGUCUAACGCAAUACAGUACAACUUUCAGCAACGGAUCUCUUGGCUCUCGCAUCGAUGAAGAACGCAGCGAAAUGCGAUAAGUAAUGUGAAUUGCAGAAUUCAGUGAAUCAUCGAAUCUUUGAACGCACCUUGCGCCCCUUGGCUAUUCCGAGGGGCAUGCCUGUUUGAGUAUCAUGAACACCUCAACUCUCAUGGUUUGCCAUGAUGAGUUGGACUCUGGGGGUUUUGCUGGCCUGUGGUCGGCUCCUCUUAAAUUAAUCAGCCUCCCAGUGUUUGGUGGCAUCAUGGGUGUGAUAAAUAUCUACGCUCGCUGUUGUCUGCCAGGUAACCUUUGGUAACAAAGGUUUGCUGGAGCUCACAGAUGUCUCUCCUCAGCGAGGACAACUUUUUUAACGUUCGAUCUCAAAUCAGGUAGGACUACCCGCUGAACUUAAGCAUAUCAAUAAGCGGAGGAAA